rnacentral:rRNA from 1 species
UACGGGGGGGGGCAAGCGUUGUUCGGAAUCACUGGGCGUAAAGGGUGCGUAGGCGGGUCUUUAAGUCAGAGGUGAAAUCCUGGAGCUCAACUCCAGAACUGCCUUUGAUACUGAAGAUCUUGAGUUCGGGAGAGGUGAGUGGAACUGCGAGUGUAGAGGUGAAAUUCGUAGAUAUUCGCAAGAACACCAGUGGCGAAGGCGGCUCACUGGCCCGAUACUGACGCUGAGGCACGAAAGCGUGGGGAGCAAAGCAGG